AGGCAUGAUGGUUCAUGCCUGUAAUCCCAGCACUUUGGGAGGUUGAGGCGGGUGGAUCACCUGAGGUCAGGAGUUCAAGACCAGCCUAACCAACAUGGUGAAACCCUGUUUUUACUAAAAAUACAAAAAUUAGCUGGUUGUGAUGGCAGGUGCCUGUAAUUCCAGCUACUCGGGAAGCUGAGGCAGGAGAAUCGCUUGAACCCAGUAGGUGGAGGUUGCAGUGAACCGAAAUUGUACCGCUACACUCCAGUCUGGGCGACAGAGUGAGACUCCAUCUCAAAAAAAAAAAAAAAAAUCACAUAAUUUUUCCACAUUUUGAAAUGUGAGGAUAGGUAAAAAAAAAUUGUAACUCUGAAAAGGGAACUGUCUUCUACUAGGCAGUGAUGUCACUAGUGGAGAGGCGGAUAGCCUUGCCUGUGGUCCUAAUAUUCCUAUUAAUGAUUUUGAUACAGAUGUAGAAAAAGUGACUGUCAAAUGUGGGCUUAUGAGAUAAAAGUGGGAAGACAGACCUAAUAUUAUAGAAGAAAGUCUUAAUAAAAUGAUUUCAAUAGGCUAUCAUGCUGAACUGAAACCAGUAAAGUGAAUUUCAAUAGAAAUAAAUGGUUUAGCACUUAAAUUUUACUACAUAAAGGAAAGAGAAAAAAGAUCGGGUAUUUUAGCUUAUUCCAGUCCACCCUGAGUUAGCAGCUGGAGAAGGCCACACUAGUCACAGUCAGCAUUAAUCAGAGUGGAGAGUCCAGAUUCUAUAUUUGGUACCACUCAGCUAACAACUGGCUGCUGUAUUUUAAGAAGGGCAAACUGAAGUAAUUAAGUAAUAAAAUAGUUAUGAUUGUCUCCAACAUAAGCAAACUAAUCUACUAAGUCCUGAAUAUAUGUUAUCUCUGAUUUUCAGAGAGUCCUGGAAAAAUAGAUACUAUUGUUUACAUUUUACAGAAAAGGGAAAUUAACCAGAGAGAUCAUCACGCACUCUCUUCCUCUCCUCCCAACUCCUUAACCAAGGAUCUUGAUGACUCAGUUGGUAGAAAAUGUACUCAGCCUAGUCUCUCAUAAUGAAGAACAAAAUGUAAUGAGAUUUUUUUACGUAUGAGGAAAGAAAAGUUAUGUAACAUGAGUCUAGGAGCUGAAAUCCUGACUAACAAGAAUUCCAGAUAGAAGAGGCUAGAAAGUAUCACUGAUAUAAUACAAGAAAAUUUCCCAGAAUGGAAGGAGAACAUGAAUAUUCAAAGUGAAAGAGCUAUACAAAAUAAACUUUAAAAGGCCUCAUUUAGAUAUUCAGGGAAUUAAGUGUAAAGAUAAGAAAUCAAAAGACUUCAGGGAGGAGACAAAAAGAUUACCUACAAAUGAACAGGAAUCAUACUGAUGUUUGAUAUGUCAUCAACAGCCAUUGAUCUAUAAGAAAAUGGAAUAAUGCCAUCAAAUUUCUGAAGAGAACUGAUUUCAAUUCUAUACCAAUCUAAAUCAUCAAAGGUUAAAAAAAAAAAGAAUAAAAAUCUUUAUAUAAUUAAAAACUCAAAAUAUUGCUUUACAGGCACAAAACACCUUUUCUUUGGGAGUUACUUGCAGAUGUAUUUCAGCAAAAUGAAAAAGUGAAACAAUAAAUACUAACAUGAGUUUUAGGAAAUAGUACAUUCAAUCUAAAAGAAAAGUUCCCAGAUAACUACUAUGUAGAAGGCCUCCAGAGCAACGAGUCCAUGUAAGGAGAGGAGCAUGGAGACCACCAGAGGAUGAUCUAGAAAAAGCAAGAGGGGGGAAUUU
ensembl:lncRNA